rnacentral:tRNA from 1 species
GCCGAAGGCAGCCGCAAGCAACGGCGCGGAAUCAUAAUCCGCGUGUCGCAGGUUCGAGUCCUGCCUCCGGCA